AGCCUUUCAAUUCCGAGUAAGCCGCCCUAUAUCAGUUAUGCCGGGUUCGCCCGGCUAUGGCGAUAAAUUGUGCCGUGUAAUAGAUGCAGCGGACCCGGGGGCGGUACCCGGCGGCUCCACCAUAUUCCCCGCAAUAACGGGGUGCAUGACGGGGCCGAACUAGGAUCGACGUGUAUUGAAAGACGGUGUUUUUGCCCGGCCUGAAUGAGCCGUUAAACCUUUCAAAACCUAUAAGUGCCAACGAUAACGAAGCACUUGCUCUGGCUGCAUAACUAAGGGCCUUCGUGGCCUGAAGUUAUCCAAAUAGAACACGGCGGGGACUGCGCCGGGUAACAGAAGCAGAAACCAGCGGCUUGGGGGUGCCGGGCAACAGAAACCCCCACU
rnacentral:tmRNA from 1 species